UUUUUUUUUUCCUCUGUAUAUAGAGAAUUCUAUGGCAAGGGACAUGCAAAAGACUGCUGCAAAAAAAAAACGUACAGUAAAAUUGUGAUUGGAUGACUCGAGACAAGGUGCUGCAGUAACUAAAGAAUGUUAAAGGGACACUAUAGUGACCAGAACAUGCAUGGAGACUUUCCCCAUAGUGAUGCAUUGAUUACAUCUUCUCUAUGAGAUGCUAAUUGGCGUAGAGCAGCGUUUCGUGCAGAUUACCCUCCUGUGGCAAACAUAGCCACUUGGACACUAUAACGAGACUGUGCCUUUAAGGGUUGCCUAUAUGGUUGGGAGAUAUGGGCUUAACUAUGUUGAAUGUAUGCGGGUUGUAAUUUACAUGUAUUUGUUGUAUUGACCAUCUGCCGAAUGCAGAUGGCUGUUUGUAUUGGGUUUUUCUUUCGUUUCACGAACGGCACUUUUGCGGGCCGUUCGUGAACCGAAAACACCCCCAUGUAAUAGCCC